rnacentral:rRNA from 1 species
UACGUAGGGUGCGAGCGUUAAUCGGAAUUACUGGGCGUAAAGCGUGCGCAGGCGGUCUGUUAAGACCGAUGUGAAAUCCCCGGGCUUAACCUGGGAACUGCAUUGGUGACUGGCGGGCUAGAGUAUGGCAGAGGGGGGGUAGAAUUCCACGUGUAGCAGUGAAAUGCGUAGAGAUGUGGAGGAAUACCGAUGGCGAAGGCAGCCCCCCUGGGCCAAUACUGACGCUCAUGCACGAAAGCGUGGGGAGCGAACAGG